rnacentral:lncRNA from 1 species
UGGAGAUGCAGUAAGGAGCCAGAGGCCAUAAUCAUACCUUGUGUAUCUUCAUUAAAUGAAGUGGAUAAAUAUAGCCCCAGGUGAGAAACAGAGUAUUGCAUUACCAUUGGAUGGCAUUGGGUGGGAAUAUUUCAGUAUCAUCAGAAGGGCAAGAAGCUUUUAUUGCCUCAAAGGAGGUGACUUGAGAACUGAGGUGCACAGUGAAGUUCGGAGAGUAGCAGAAGGGUGUUGAAGAUGUGCACAGGAUUCACUUCUUACCAGUUCUGUAAGUCUGGGGAUCAGCAGAAAGAAAAGGUAGAGAAAGAAGAAUUGAGAGAUUAUGAAAACGGGCUUAAGAGCGACAGGAAAAAAAAUUGUUAAUAUACAAAAUAUAUAAAUGUAAUCAAAAAUGACCUAAUCACUAGUGUUUUAGAAAUACUGAUCUGAAACUCUGAUCUUGCAAUGAAUCUUAGGCAUAACAAUAUCCAGACUAUGAACUGCCUGGGCUGCCUUUUUUAUCACUGCAGAAUCAUGUGGCACAGCUCUAAUUAGUGCAUUGAAGGCUUUAUCGGAAGACAAUAUCUUGAACAAUAUGCCGACUGGACGGAAAAUGCAAUACUGUAUGUGGGAUUGUACUGGACAUUACAGGAAAAAAUACAGAAAUAUAUUUAAUACAGAAAUAUUAUUUUCUAGAAAUCAUAGAAUCAUAGGACUGGAAGGGACCUAGAGAGGUCAUCUAAUUUGGUCUCCUGCACUCAUGGCAGGACUACAUAUUAUCUAGACCAUUCCUGACAGGUGUUUGUCUAACCUGCUCUUAAAAAUCUCCAAUGAUGGAGAUUCCAUAUUUCAUCAAGGCCUGGUGACUUGAAGACAUCUAAUUUGUCUAUGUAAUUUUUAACUUGUUCUUUCCCUCUUUUAGCCUCUGAUCGUACUUCAUUUUCACUGGCAUUCACUAUGUUAGUAAUCCAAUCACCACCAAUCUUCUUGGUGAAAACCGAAACAAAGAAGGCAUUUAACAUUUCUGCCAUUUCCUCAUUUUCUCUUAUUAUUUCCCCCCACCCCUCCAUUGAGUAACGGGCCUACCCUGUCCUUGGUCUUCCUCUUGCUUCUAAUGUAUUUGUAGAAUGGUUUCCUGUUAUCUUUAUGCUAUUUACCAUGUUUUCUCUUUAUCUUAUUUACUAUGUUUUCAAUUUAAAAUGUGAUCAUAUCUUUUUCACACAUUUUACCAUGUACAGAGCAUUCUGUUAUGUUAC